rnacentral:lncRNA from 1 species
GGGCACGAGUUGUGCCGAACCAACCAAGGUACUAUACAAUCUGCAUGGUAAAUAUGCUUGCAUGGCAUCUGCCUUGCUUCAGAACCCAAUUCAAAGUUAUCUUGACAAACCGGGCACUGAGAAUCCGUGUUGAGGUGCCUGUGUGUGAUCUUGACAGUAGGCAAAGCAUCUAUUGAGGAACGAGGUGCCGGGGGUGGUCCCUGCCUAUCAUUCAUACUGAGCUGCUCAAUCAACUGUUGCAGCCCAGCUGUGUGAUCUUGAUAGUAGGCAAAGCAUCUAUUGCGGAACGAGGUGCCGGGGGUGGGCCCUGCCUAUCAUUCAUACUGAGCUGCUCAAUCAACUGUUGCAGCCCAGGCCCCAUUAAAUCAUCUAAAUUAGGUCGCCGCUGCCCCAUUCCUGGACUUCCAUUGAAGAA